AGAGUUUGAUCCUGGCUCAGGGUGAACGCUGGCGGCGUGCUUGACACAUGCAAGUCGAACGGUAUGUGGCAACACAUAGAGUGGCGAACGGGUGAGUAACACGUGGGAACGUAUCUUUUGCAGGGGGAUAACUGACCGAAAGGACAGCUAAUACCGCAUAAGUCCGGGAGGAGAAAGGUGCAACAGCAUCGGCAGAAGAGCGGCCCGCGGUCCAUCAGCUAGUUGGUGAGGUAAGGGCUUACCAAGGCGACGACGGAUAGCCGGCGUGAGAGCGUGGCCGGCCACAAGGACACUGAGAUACGGGUCCUACUCCUACGGGAGGCAGCAGUGCGGAAUUUUAGAUAAUGGAGGGAACUCUGAUCUAGCGACGCCGCGUGCAGGAAGAAGGUCUUCGGAUUGUAAACUGCUGUGGUAAGGGAAAAAUGCUAUGUAGAGUGGAAAGCUACAUAGAGGGAUGGUACCUUACUAGAAAGCCCCGGCUAACUACGUGCCAGCAGCCGCGGUAAUACGUAGGGGGCGAGCGUUACCCGGAAUCACUGGGCGUAAAGGGAGCGUAGGUGGCCUAACAUGUCAACUGUGAAAACCCGGAGCUCAACUCCGGACUUGCAGUUGAAACUGGUAGGCUUGAGGACGGUAGAGGAAGACGGAACUGCCAGUGUAGGGGUAAAAUCCUUAGAUAUUGGCAGGAACGCCGGUGUCGAAGGUGGUUUUCUGGGCCGGUUCUGACACUGAUGCUCGAAAGCCAGGGGAGCGAACGGGAUUAGAUACCCCGGUAGUCCUGGCCCUAAACGAUGUUCACUAGGUGUGGGGAGCGGAAAGCUCUCCGUGCUAAAGCUAACGCGAUAAGUGAACCGCCUGGGGAGUACGCCCGCAAGGGUGAAACUCAAAUGAAUUGACGG
rnacentral:rRNA from 1 species